rnacentral:lncRNA from 1 species
CUGCAACCGAGAGGGAUACAGGGACUUGGUCAGAGUUGGGAGCUGCACCUCCCACGCCACCCCAGGACUUCCUUCCAGUCUAUCUUGCUCUUCCCAGCUCCAACAGAGGUGUGUCUAAGUGGCCCUGAUGAGAGCUAGGGUCCAACCUUAGCUGAAACCCAAGGUGUCAAGUACAGGGCCCUCCCAAGGGAGGCAGGAGCACAGGCAUUGCAGAGCACCCAAGACAAAGGGGGACCUGGGAGAAGAAGGAAGACUCUCUUUCCUCAGCCUCAAGGGAGCCUCCGUGUCCUACAGCUCAGGCUGGACAGAGGACAGCAGAGAGAAGCUCCAUGCAUGAACAGGAAGCCAAUAGCCUGACACCACAGGUGCUCCCAGGGGCAGUUUCUGCACCCCACCAACCCCUCCAGCACUGGCUAAACAUAACGAGAACACUCUUGCCUGCCCCAGGGGCUCCAUGCCAGUGCCUGCACAGCUGGAGUCCUGGGAUGAAGAUCCAGCCUCAAGUACACUUCAGGACAUCCAGCCAUACCAAUGGGACUAUAGAGCAAAGGUCCAGGGACCCC